rnacentral:rRNA from 1 species
UACGUAGGUGGCAGGCGUUAUCCGGAUUUAUUGGGCGUAAAGGGAACGCAGGCGGUCUUUUAAGUCUGAUGUGAAAGCCUUCGGCUUAACCGGAGUAGUGCAUUGGAAACUGGGAGACUUGAGUGCAGAAGAGGAGAGUGGAACUCCAUGUGUAGCGGUGAAAUGCGUAGAUAUAUGGAAGAACACCAGUGGCGAAAGCGGCUCUCUGGUCUGUAACUGACGCUGAGGUUCGAAAGCGUGGGUAGCAAACAGG